UUGGGAGAAAGAAAAAAACAAGAUCGGCAACAGAUGUUAGCUCAGGGCCAAUCUUUAAAAAAAAAAAAGAAUCCAGAUUAUCGAAGGGCGCUCUAAAUGGGAAGGUUUGAUUACAUUUGGCCAGUAAUCAGUAAUAAUCAUAACAUUCUCUCAUCUACAUAGUCCCAGUAAUCUCAAGUGCCUUGUUUUAUUUUGAUUAUUAGUGACUUAAAUAACAACAGCUUUACUACUUGAAGAACAGGCUGUAAGUCAUGGUGAAAUUUUCUCAUUUUCUUUAUGAGACUAUUUGACUAUGUCUGUAGUGUCUGAAUCCAGUUCCUUUUUUCUAAUGUUAAAUUACACUCUCGUCUUCAGCCUCUUCUUCCCAAGCACAACUGAGGCCAAGCCAGAAUGUCAACAGAAUGAGCUUUUCCACGAUGGUGGGAGUCCAUCACCACAAAUGCUUUGCCAUGACCCAAAAAGACAAACCGUAAAUAGACAUGUUUGACAGCUUUUUCCAUCCUCAACUUGACUAGCAUUUUCCCAUUUUAUUUUUAAAUCUACAUCCACUUUUAUACACUAUAUAUCAAUUAACAUAAACUUGCAUACACUUUGUUCAUUACCAUGGUGUUAGGAAGAUUAUUAUUUUUUUCCACCUACGGAGGAACUUUUAAAAAUAUUAACUGUUCAUGACUUCAAGAGCUUUAUACUCCCUUCCCGUCCACUAUUCUCAUUACUUGUUCAUUCAAAAACGUGCGGUCUUCCUUUGGAACCCCUUGAAGUGAAGAAGGGUUUGUAUUCACCCGUCAUUUACCAUUGUUUAGCUCUAACACAAGAUUGGAAUUUUUUCACCUUUAUGAUCCAAACUUCCCCAACCUUGGCCAUAAAAGUCACACACAUUUAUUAAAGAAAACUUUGAAAAUGUAGAAAGGCAUAAAGAAGAAUAUUAAAACAACUCAUAAUCCCACCACCUAAUUUUAAAAUCUUAACAUCCUGGUGCGUUAAAGACUGUCGUGAGGCAGAGCAUUUGAAGAAAAGUUUUUAAUUAAAACAUAUAUAGUUUUUAAAAUACCUUUAAAUCCCUGAGUAUGCCUUUAAAACCAACAAACACUUUCCCUAUUACUUAUAGAAUCUAGCAGUUGGAAACGGCUGUAAAGAUACCCAGCUCAACGGCCCCCGCGGGGCCCAGGCCGUGAAGGAUUUGCGGGCCGCGCGUGGCUCCGUCAGGCUCCUGACCGCCCUCUCGCCUCCCUGCUCCUCUGCACGCCGGCAGACUCACCUCCGCUGUUCGUUUGGCAAGGUGGCUGAGGGGCUGCCCUAAGACGGGGCCCAGCGAGGGCUCUUAGCCACAGGGAGGCUGAGGAGCUACAACCAGGAGCCAAGACGCCAGGCUGGGUAGGAGCCCCCUGGGGCAGCCCCGGGGAGCAGGCUAGGGCUGUGUCUUAGUGCCUCGGGCUGCCACAACAAAGUACCACAGACUGCGGGGUGUAGACAACAGAAACCUAUUUUCUCACCCUUCUGGAGGCCAGAAGGCCUAGAUGAAGGCUUCGGCAGGGUUGGCUUCUUCCAAGGCCUCUCUCCUUGGCUUGCAGGUGGCCGUCUCCACCCUGGGCCCGCCUGGCUUAAUCUCCUCUUCUCAUAAGGACGCCAGUCACAUUAGAUGAGGGCUCUCCCUAAUGACUUUCUUUUAACUUAAUUUCUUCUUUAAAGGCCCAGUCUCCAAAUACGCUUAUAUUUUGAGGUACUGGGGGUGAGGACUUCAACAUACGAAUUUUGAAGGGAACACAAUUCAGCCCACACCAAGCUGUUUAAAGCUGCUGUUAGUCUGGCUGAAUUUUGGGAUUUGGGAUUCAAUGAACUGAAAGGUGCAAACACGGGGUGGCAAAGGAAACAACUGGCAGGUCUGAGAACCACAUGCCUAGUGUUCUCUGGAAAUCUCAGAUCCUGAGGAAAAGAGCAUGGGAUUGUGAGUCCAGAGCAUGGCGAUUUCCAACUCCGCCACCUCCUGGCUCUGAGACUUUGGGUGCGUUCCCUGUUCCUCCAGGCCGCAGUGUCCUUCUCUAGAGCAGGUGGGCCCAGCGUCCGUUUAAAAUGAACUGCUAAACUCUCGAUGAGCCCCGUAAACCAAGAAAAGCACACAACACGCAGAUUUGCUCCCCGUGAAUCACAAACCCAUCACACUCCUCCCCAGAGAUGCCCACUCCCAGCUGACGUUUGUGCCCUCCACGCGGGGCUCCCCUGAACAGACGCCCCAACCUAGCCCCCUUCUCCACUACUCGACUAGCCCAGUGGCUGGCCCCCCCUGUCCUCCGCCAAGGUCUAGGACACCCCUCCCUUCUCUGCCAGAUCGCCCAGGCUUAAGAGCCUGCUCAGAGGCAGCUCCUUCACGAGACCGUUCCCAAGCAGAGGUGGUCUCUCCUGCACUGUCUGGUUGCUUCCUCUCUUACUGCACGUUUGUCAUUCUCCCUAGCCUCACCAUUAUUUCUUUAACUAUCUACACAGACCCUCAAGUGUAAAAGAGAACUACGGUGCACUACCAUUUCUAAGGAGGGGAAAUGAGAAAAUACACAGGUGUCGGCACAGCAGUGCCAAAAGGAGCAUCAGAAGGUUACAGCAGGAACCAGUAAGACUGACUGCCUCUGGAGUGGGUAUCAACUUUUGGAACACAUCUGUUGACUCGCUUUGGUAGAAGCAUCCAGAGACCACCAAUACCCUCGAUGUCAGUCAUUGAACGAAAAGACUCCUCUUAUUUCCUACAAACACUGAAGCCUAUAAAUCCAGCAAAGAAGCCCAGAAAACAAAAAGGAAUCCAUGAAACAAACAAAGAUUAAAAAUCAAAACAAGGAAACCCACAAAAAGCAAAAGCUCUUCAGUCUAGACAUCAUGGAGAUACAUUUGAAAUAAACUUAUCACAAAGCGGGCUCUUUUCUGGUCACCUGACAUGUAAGCAAUCCCAGGCAAGCAAGUGAAUAAUUGUCUUCAAGGCUGAAUUGAACGCGUCCUUUUCCCCUCUCUGCCCGAUUCUACGUGCACCCUUCCAGGAGCUGGGUUUCACCGGGUCUCCCGCCCUCUCCCCGCACCCUGGAAGCGGAGCCAGGACCUCUGAACAGCAAGCCUCUGACAUCACUGGCAGCGGGAGGUCCACAGAAGUCUGAGGUUUCACGCCUCACUGCCCUCAAUACUGAACUCUCCCACGACGCUGUGCCCAGAAGACGUUUACUACCUAAAAGCACAGUCAGUCACCCCUCAAAGAAACACUCUUCCCACUGGACGCUGUGUCCACCACGGCUGGGACGGGGAAGCCAUACCCACCGUGGCUGACAAAAUAAAAGUGAAUCCAGCCUGAAAUGCGCCCUGCUGCCUCCUGCUCUCUUCCGCCAGGUGGUCCUUGGCAAAGGUACCUGAAGAGCCAAACACGCCCAGUUUCCCAGCCACCGGGGUGAAGAGCGAGGGUCAGGGAGGGACUGUGCCUUGCCACACAGCUAGUCUCUGUGACUGCAGCAGCUGGUUCCUCCUGUCAUCCCCCCCACCCACCCCACGGCCCUACCCGCUUCUGUUUCUAGGAACCACGGGCUGCACAGCUGGGAGGGCCUCAGUCCUCCUCUCUCCAUGCUGCAGACAAGAAAACACAAGUUUAGAGACGUUUGGCAACUUGUCCAAGUUCCUGGACUCAUUAGUGGUGGCAGAGCGGGGCCAAACCCAGGAGUGCUGGUUCCAGUCCAACCCAGACUUGCACAAGUUUGAGAUUCACAGCAAGAGAAGGAAUGUGGGGUUCCAGGCCUGGAACAGCUGCUCCUUGGGGAAAUGACAUCCCCCUACCUCUGCCUUCUCAGGCUCUCUCGUGUGUAAAAUAGAUAGUAAAUAUGGCCACAGCUCACUAAGUAAACGCUCCACUCUGGUAAUGUAUUUAAAAGUGCUUAUAGGAAUAUAAACACCACGGUACAUAGCAUUCUUCUUAAUCCCACCAAGGUCCUUUCACCUGUUUGAAGGCCCAUUAGGCCUCUGGGUCACAUGGAUUCUUCCCAGCUUGCUCUCCUCUCCUGCAGAGCCUCCCCUGGCUCUGGGGUAUUUCUAACUCACCACACAAAAAAGAGAAAGAUCUUUAUUUUGCUAUUUUUAACAGGGCCUCAAGAUACAAAGAGGUGGAAAGCUUAUUGCUAUAAACCGAGCACAGGAGAACUCGUGGCUCCUGCAAAUCUGAAGGACACUGAGAGAAUCAGCGUUCGGCAGGUGCGAUUCACGGGAAGCAGUGGGACAUAAGAUGCUCCCACACCUGACUCACGCGGAGUGCAUGCGAUGCAUCCCGGAUGUGCUGCUCCCGAAAGUCAUGACAAACACCAGGCAGAAAGCGCAGUUCUAAGACACUCAUAGUCAUGGUGAUGAGAAUAAUAACAAAAGCCGCCAUCUUUUGAGCUCUUUACUAUAUACGGUAUCUUUGGGGUAAAUGACACACUCUUGUACUUGGAACUGUCCUACAGCAAUACAGCUUUCCAGUGGCUGAAACUGGGGAAGGUGGAGACAAAGGCAUCAGUUACAGCCCAGAUGACCUGCUCCCAGGCGGGCGUGCUGUCUCUCACUUUUGUAUCUUUGUGAAUGAUUCCUGCCUGGAAUUCCUCCACUCCUACCCUAAUCCUCCACCUUGCUCCCCGGCUGCUUCUUUUAGCAAACUCCUCCCCCUCAUCUCUGGGACACCCUCCAGCAGCUCCUCUCCUAAACAAAGCCCUCUCACCCUGUGAUUUCUAAUAAAUCAGAAGUCACCUUGGGUUGUCA